AUUGAACGCUGGCGGCAUGCUUUACACAUGCAAGUCGAACGGUAACAGGCCGCAAGGUGCUGACGAGUGGCGAACGGGUGAGUAAUGCAUCGGAACGUGCCCAGUCGUGGGGGAUAACGCAGCGAAAGCUGUGCUAAUACCGCAUACGAUCUAUGGAUGAAAGCGGGGGACCGUAAGGCCUCGCGCGAUUGGAGCGGCCGAUGUCAGAUUAGGUAGUUGGUGGGGUAAAGGCUCACCAAGCCAACGAUCUGUAGCUGGUCUGAGAGGACGACCAGCCACACUGGGACUGAGACACGGCCCAGACUCCUACGGGAGGCAGCAGUGGGGAAUUUUGGACAAUGGGGGCAACCCUGAUCCAGCCAUGCCGCGUGCGGGAAGAAGGCCUUCGGGUUGUAAACCGCUUUUAGCCGGGAAGAAAAGGCGGAGGUUAAUACCUUCCGUUUUUGACGUUACUCGCAGAAUAAGCACCGGCUAACUCUGUGCCAGCAGCCGCAGUAA
rnacentral:rRNA from 1 species